GGGCCCGCACAAGCAGUGGAGCAUGUGGUUUAAUUCGAUGCUACGCGAAGAACCUUACCAGGGCUUGACAUAGUGUCUAAGACUCUAGAGAUAGAGGGAUAAUAGGUACAUACAGGUGGUGCAUGGUUGUCGUCAGCUCGUGUCGUGAGAUGUUAGGUUAAGUCCUCCAACGAGCGCAACCCUUGUCCUUAGUUGCCAGCAUUUAGUUGGGGACUCUAGGGAGACCGCCGGCGUAAGCCGGAGGAAGGUGGGG
rnacentral:rRNA from 1 species